GAGGGUAUAGCUCAGUGGCAGAGUGGGUGUUUAGCAUGCACGAAGCCCUGGAUUCAAUCCCCAGUACUUCCA
rfam:Camelus ferus unplaced genomic scaffold scaffold1533, whole genome shotgun sequence.